rnacentral:lncRNA from 1 species
UGGUUCAGUUUCCAAAGAGGAAGAAGAAGAGCCAGAGAAGGCUGGGAGUUGGCAGAGAUAGUUCUUAAGAUAGGAUGGAGAAUUAUGAGUUCUGGUAGAUUUUCUGAGAACAGGAGCAGAAGAAGAAGAAGAAGGCAAAAUGGGAGGAGAAGAUUGAUGGAUAGAUGAAGGAGAAUCAGAAAGAACAUCAUUUUCUCCAGAAGGUAAGGAAGAAAC